GAACGUCGUGAGACAGUUCGGUCCAUAUCCGGUGUGGGCGUUAGAGUAUUGAGAGGAUUCUUCUUUAGUACGAGAGGACCGAGAAGAACAGACCUCUGGUGUACCAGUUAUCGUGCCAACGGUAAACGCUGGGUAGCUAAGUCUGGAAAGGAUAACCGCUGAAAGCAUCUAAGUGGGAAGCCCGCCUCGAGAUGAGUACUCUCAUCCUUUAAGGAGUAAGGUCACGGCAAGACUAGCCGUUUUGAUAGGCAUUAGGUCGAAGUGUAGUAAUAUAUGAAGCCGAGAUGUACUAAUAGACCGAGGACUUG
rnacentral:rRNA from 1 species